rnacentral:rRNA from 1 species
GCGGCACGCCUUAUACAUGCAAGUCGAACGAAGUAGCAAUACUUAGUGGCAGACGGGUGAGUAACAUGUAGGUAUCUACCCUUUGGUGAGGAAUAACACGAGGAAACUUGUGCUAAUACCUCAUAAGUCUUUACGGAGAAAGCUUUAUGCGCCGAAGGAUGAGCCUGCACUUGAUUAGUUUGUUGGUGGGGUAAUGGCCUACCAAGACUUUGAUCUAUAGCUGAUCUGAGAGGAUGAUCAGCCACAUUGGGACUGAGACACGGCCCAAACUCCUACGGGAGGCAGCAGUAGGGAAUAUUGCACAAUGGAGGAAACUCUGAUGCAGCGAUGCCGCGUGAGUGAAGAAGGCCUUUGGGUUGUAAAGCUCUUUCGUCGGGGAAGAAAAUGACUGUACCCGAAUAAGAAGGUCCGGCUAACU